CUACUGAGCACCUUGUGACCCCUACUCCUGCUCGACAGAGAACAACCCCCCUUUGACUGUAAUUUUCCUUUACCUACCCAAAUCUUAUAAAACGGCCCCACCCCUGUCUGUCUUUGCUGACUCUCUUUGCUGACUCUCUUUGCUGACUCUCUUUUCGGACUCAGCCUGCCUGCACCCAGGUGAUUAAAAGCUUUAUUGCUCACACAAAGCCUGUUUGGUGGUCUCUUCACACGGACACGUAUGAAGGAAACAAUGUAGUGUUAGUGUCUCUAAAAAGACUAACACUUUUUGUUUUUGUUUGUGUUUUUGCCUGUUAUUCCUUCUCUUUAUCAAAAAUUUUCUCAAAUACCAAGAAUAAAUUUUUGGAAUAAAUUUCCAAAUAAUACUUUUUAUUUUAAAUUUUCUUUUACAUGAAAAAUAUAUGUACAUUGCAAAUGGAAAUUUGGAGUCCAAGGAUGUAGUCACAUCUCACUGUAACUUCAAUCUGAAAUGUAGUCAAUCCAUAAAUUUUCAUUUAUUCUGCUGACUUGCAUUAAUCAAUAGAAUAUUUAUGCCUUAAUGGCAUGGUUAUGAUCUUUUUUAUAUAUUCCUUUACUCUACCUUUCUGGUUUUCAGCUCUCUGUUUCUUUUAUUAAAUUUCUACAACUUUCAACUUUAUCACCUAUUUAUGUAACUAUUCUGUGGCUUAGAUUAGUUUUUCACUUUUUGUCUUAUUAAUUACCCAUUUAAUAUGUGAAUAUCUUAACUUUAAUAUUACGUAUUUCGGAGAUAAUUUCAUUCAACUUAACUUCGUUGUACUUUGAAGGCUGAUAACAGGAGGCUUUUUUUAAAAUUUAAGUUACAUUUUAGAACAUUACUAUUGUCUUUUUUACAUAUGGUAAUGGGACUGUAUAAAAAUGAGGCCUCUGUACCUUUUGCUGCCUCAUGGAAAGUUUAUACAGUGAGGAAUUACAACCAGAGCAGCUUAACAGUACUCUAAACUUGUAUAUUUUGCAUCAAUGUCUUCAUCAUUGUUUUCCUUGACAAGCAUACCUUCCUGGUGACAUGUAGAUUUCAAGGAAGUAGUUUUGUUGUCUGUUGCCUUGUCCACAAACCCUAUCACAAAAGUGCUAUUAGCAGAAGCAACAAGAAAAAUAAAUGGCCUUGCAAAUAGCUCUUGUGUUAUUUAUAUCACUACCAGUUUUAGCCAAAUAUUGAACUAGAAGUGUCUCUGUUUAUCAUGGAAAUUAAGAUACUUGAAAGACUGUUCUCUGGUUUUGCACUUUUUGCAAAAGCUUUCUCACCAAGUUCAAUGCACUGCGGGAACUCACUCAAAUAUUUUAAACUGUCUUGAAGUUUAGCUUUGUUGUAUUGCUUCAUUAGGAGCAAUAAUGAGGCUUGAAUAAUGUCACUUGCUAAUGGAGUAAAAAUAUGAAACAACAACAGCAUGUCCUUCUACCCCCUCCUUAUUCUUAGGGCAAUAAACACUGUUUUAAAGUUUUAACACACAGGAGGAUAUCAUAUAUACACUAGGUCAGGUUUCUGAUGUGGUUUUUCCAUUGUUGCUAAUGACAGCUUGCUGUUCAAACUGCUUUUUAUCCUGUCAGUAUUAUCCCGUAAUAAAAAUUGCCUAAGUUUUAGCAGUUAAAAAUGUGUGGUCUAGGUUAUAGGACAUCAAAUAUACAGUUAGAAAUGCUGAAAACAUUUGUGACCUCAGUAUCUGAUUUCUAGCUUUUCUCUUGAACAACAUUUGGUCAGGAAACUGAGACUAUGCCUUACAUUCGUACAACCUCUUGUCUUUUUAGUUUUCUUUCCAAAAAAUAUCAAUCAGGUUUCAAGAGUGCUUUCUAGUUUUUGAAAGAAAUUAAAAAGUCAUAUCUAAAAAUAAUUCUUGAACUGGAAAUAAAUUUAAGUGAUUUAUUUCAACUCAUUUUUAUAGAGUAGAUUUCUAUCAAUUUUCUUUUUCAAAUGUAAUUCAUUUGAAUAAGUAAACUUAGGUGUUCAGAAAAAAAUGUAUUUUCUUUUUUUUUUUUUACUUCUCAGUAAGUUAAACACAUGAAUGAUCAAAGGCAAACGGAAAUAUAUUACACAUUCUGAAGUUUAACAUCCCACCAGGAUCUUCACAGGAAUAUUUUAAUUAUAAUAAGUUUUGUGAUCAUUACAUCUAAUCCCUUUCAACUUUUCUGUUGCUCUUCCUUGUAUACUUGAAUAAAUGCCAAGUAAAUUUCAUCUUUGAAGAAAAAAAUAUAAAAAUACUUAACUGAUUUCAAGUUAUAUGUGGAUUAUUGAAAUCAUUUAACAGCAAUUUAAGCUGUUUGUAAUCAGAUAAGAAACUAUGUCAGCAACUUAAUUGGAUUCAGGGAAUUUGAACAGAUUUUCUGUGCAGGGUCGCUAAGCAUAAUGCUAACAGUGGGCUGGAGCUACUCCAAUUUAUUCACUUCUGUAAAAAGAAGACUUCCUAAACCUGGAAAAUAGUAGAGAGGGCCUGCUAGGAUUUACAGCAUUAUAUCCUCCAUCUUAUUAUAUUUCUGGCUUUUGUUUUGUUGAUUUGAUGUAUUUAUCAAAAAUGUUAAUCAUUACAUAGCUUUAUCAAUCAUCAUUUAACAUGAACAUGAAUUACCCCAAAACAGCUUGAAUCCUUGAAGAUAUCUGAAAAACCAUGUUAAUAAAAAUAAGACUGUAUAUUCAGGUCUGUACAUGUGGCUCAUAGAAGGGUUUCAAAUAUGUAAUUACCUGCAGAGGAAUAGACAUCAAUUUUCAGGCUCUAGAUGUUAGUAAUUAAUAAAACAUGGCAGUAGACAUUACUUUAACAUAUUAUAAAUAAAAAUACAUAGCACAUAUAUGCAUACAAUAUACACAGUGCAUGUGCACAUAUUUGCUGUCUAAAACAGUAUAUAAAUUCAAAUCAAAAAGAUGAACAGGGGUACUGCUGGGGUAGGCAAUGGGAGUAAGUCUCAGCCCAAUCUAGAGAUACUGGGAAGUAUUUAAUGAAAGAGUGGAUACAAUAUAAAAAAAACAGAAAAAUUGUUAACAUUAACACAAAACCUCAUCCAAGCAGUUCAAAGCAACAGGAGAAAACAGAGGGCAAUAUCAAAAAAGCAGGAGACUGCAUUUAAACUGCCCUAGUAGGUUUGAAUCCUGACUCAACCUCUAAGCUGUGACAUUUUUGGCAAGUUCCCAAGAUUUAUAAGUCAUGGUAUCUUAGUCAGCUCAGGCUGACCAAAUAAAAUGCCAUAUACUAGGUGGCUCAAAUAACAGAAAUUUAUUUCUCACAGUCCUGGAGGGUUGGAAGUCCAAGAUUAAGGCAUCAGCUCAUUCAGUUCCUGGUGAGAGUUCUCCUCCUGGCUUGUGGAGAGCCAUCCUCUAGCUGUAUUUUCACAUGGCUUUUUCUCUCUUACUCAUCUUAUGACACUAAUCAUAUUAUGAGGGCCACACACAUAAUCUCAUCUAACCCGAAUUACCCCCAAAAGGCUCCAUCUUCAAAUACUAUCAUAUUAGGCACUAGGACCUCAAUAUAUGAGUUUGGGGGGACACAAGCAUUCAAUCCGUAAUAAUAUCCUCCUCUGAAAAUGGCAUCAAAGAGUCCUUGCUUGGAUUUAUGAGGCUCAGAACAUAGCAAAUGUGGUGAUAGUGGAAGCAUAUUCUUCGGUGGUGCUGCUGCUGCUUUACUGUGUGACCAUCAUUUGAAGGAGUCAACAACUGAUUAAAAUGGCAUGAUUCUCACUGGUUGAGUCUGUAAGACCAAGAACAUGUAUAUGCCAAUGGAAUAUGCUAGAAGAUGUAUAAGGAAAUUGCAAAGAAGGACCAUACAAAACAUUUUGAACUCUUAGUUCAUUAUUUAUUUUGAGGAUAUGGAUGUAGUGGUUAUUUAAUUGAGGAUUCAGCUAAAAAAGGCAAACAGAAUUUCAUUAGCAAAAGUGCUGGAAUGCUGUGUUCUUUUCAUCCUUACACCAACUGAGAAGACUUUGGUGAGGAACAAUUAACAAAACUUUUUAUAUAUCUCUAGAUAUUGAAAGCCACAGAAGUGAGUUUUAAACACACCUGAGAGUUAUAAAGAUAAAAGAAUAUUAUUAUUUUCAUGAAUUCACAGAACUGAGAGGAGGGCAAAGUGUCAUGUUUUCUUUGGACCAGAUGCACAACCACAAGAGAAUAUGCCGGUUCUCAGGGGACCUCACCCAAUUGAACUAGGACUGAGAAACCUACGUUGAGUUUCCUGUUAAGCCAAGGCUGAGUUCUGGGAAAAGGAAUCAUAAAAAGUCAGCUGGAGGAGACAUCAACAAGCAAGCUGCAGGUGGAACUGCCUGGGGGAUGGGGGAGGGAUCCUCUGAGAAACAGAGAAAAUCCCUCAAUAGAAAAGUCAGCAUUCAAUAUCUGCCAAUUUGAAAGAGGGCCAAUAUCAGAUCAAAAUAGAAUUAGGCUGCAUCUCUUACCCCAAAUUACCUGCACUCUUAAUAAACUCUUAAUGAGUGUUAUGGGCUCAGAAAAUGAAGCUAGGGCUUAAGGAGGGAGUUGGCAAAAUAAGGAGACAAACUGACUUUUUUUUCUUAGCAAGUGCAGACCUCCAAUCUUGAAGCAGCAUUCAGUGGGAGAAGAAAGAAAGCUUUAAUUUUGUUGAAGUUGAGAGUCGUGAUUAUCACGGUAACUCGGAAUUUCAUCUCAAUAAAAGAAAUUUUGAGCCUUGGAAAUACCUGAAGACCUAUUGGUGAUUUUGUCCCAGAAGCACACAGAACCAAGCUAAUGAGUAUGUUUGAAGGGAAUGGAAAAAGAAAAAUUUGCCCUAUGACUUGCAUAUUGAGACCAAUAUGUUUAACAAAAUAGUUACUUUCACUCGUGUCCAUGUGAAGAGACCACCAAACAGGCUUUGUGUGAGCAACAAGGCUGUUUAUUUCACCUGUGUGCAGGUGGGCUGAGUCGAAAAGAGAGUCAGCAAAGGGAGAUGGGGUGGGGCCGUUUUAUAAGAUUUGGGUAGGUAAAGGAAAAAGGGGGAUUGUUCUCUGGCCGGCAGGAGUGGGGGGGUGGGUCACAGGGUGCUCAGUGGGGGAGCUUUUUGAGCCAGGAUGAGCCAGGAGAAGGAAUUUCACAAAGUAAUGUCAUCAGUUAAGGCAGGAACAGGCCAUUUAAAUAUCACUUCUUUUGUGAUUCUUCACUUACUUCAGGCCAUCUGGAUGUAUACAUGCAGGUCACAGGGGAUAUGAUGGCUUAGCUUGGGCUCAGAGGCCUGACAUUCCUGUCUUCUUAUAUUAAUAAGAAAAAUAAAACAUAAUAGUGUUGAAGUGUUGGGGAGAAAAUUUUUGGGGGUGGUAUGGAGAGACAACGGGUGAUGUUUCUCAGGGCUGCUUCGAGCGGGAUUAGGGGUGGCAAGGGAACCUAGAGUGGAAGAGAUUAAGCUGAAGGAAGAUUUUGUGGUAAGGGGUGAUAUUGUGGGGUUGUUAGAAGAAACAUUUGUGGUGUAGAAUUAUUGGUGAUGGCCUGGAUAUGGUUUUGUAUGAAUUGAAAAAAGAACGGAAUAAGACAAGGAGAAAAACAGGUAUUAAAGGACUAAGAAUUGGGAGGACCUAGGACAUCUAACUAGAGAGUGCCUAAGGAGUUUCAGCAUAGCCCUGCCAGGAAAGAUUACUUAAUUACUUUAAGAGGGAGUUAAGAGUGGCGGUUUGGGGAUAGCAUCAGGAGAUAUCAGCUGUGAUGGCUUGGAGAAACAGUGUAAACCGGCAGUGUAAACAAGAGCAGGGCAUUUAUGAGUAGUUGAGAAUGGUGAAUAGGAGUAUGACUAGACAGAAUAUAGCAGGGAUGACAAGUAGUUUUUUUUUGUGGGGGGCGGGGCGCAGUCUAAGUUGGUCUGGUGUCUGGAAUGAGACUGGGGCCUAAUAAAAAGGAGUGUCUAUACAGGAGCUCAAAUGGGCUGUACCUUGUAGCAUUCCGAGAACAAGCUUGAAUUCUGAGAAGGGCAAGUGGUAAAAGUAUUAUCCAGUCCUUUUUAAGUUGACGGCUGAGCUUGGUGAGGUGUGUUUUUAAAAGACCAUUAGUUCACUGAAUACUAAGAGUCUGAGAAACUGCUUGGGUGAUUUGACUAAUAAAGGCCGGUCCAUUAUACGUCUGUAUAGAGGUGGGAAGGCCAAAUCGAGGAAUUAUGUCUGACAGAAGGGAAGAAAUGACCGUGGCCAUCUUAGACCCUGUGGGAAAGUCCUCUACCUAUCCAGUUAAAGUGUCUACUUAGACCAAGAGGUAUUUUAGUUUCCUGACUCAGGGCAUGUUGAGUAAAGCCAAUUUGCCAGUCCUGGGCAGGGGCAAAUCCCAGAGCUUGAUGUGUAGGGAAGGUAGGGGGCCUGAAUAAUCCCUAAGGAGUAGUAGAAUAGCAGAUGGAACACAGAGAAAUUAUUUCCUUAAGGAUAGAUUUCCACGAUGGAAAGGAAAUGAGAGCUUCUAAGAGGUGGGCUAGUGGCUUGUACUAUAGCAUAGCCUGCCUUUGCUGGAGUGUGGUGAUUAGGCCUGGUGGAACUGCCAUCAAUAAACCAAGUGUGAUCACAGUGAGGAACAGGAAAGAAGGAAAUAGGGGGAAAUGGGGUGAAUGUCAGGUGGAUCAGAGAGAUGCAGUCAUGGGGGCCAGGUGUGGUAUCAGGAAUAAUGUGGGAGGCCGGAUUGAGGUCCAGGCCAGGAACAAUGGUAAUUGUAGGAGACUCAACAAAGAGUACAGCUGAAGGAGCUAGAGAUCAGAAAGUAUAUGUGUCAGGUGUGAGGAAGAAAAUAGAGUUUGGAAGUUAUGAGAACUGUAGAGAGUGAGUUGAGCAUAGUUUGUGAUUUAGAGGGCCUCUAAAAGUAUUAAGGCAGUGGCAGCCACUGCAUGCAGACAUGAGGGCUAGGCUAAAACAGUGAGGUCAAGUUUGGAUAAAAAGGCUACAGCGCACGGUCCUGGUUCUUGUGUAAGAAUUCCAACCGCACAGACCUGCACUUCGGCUGUGGGUAAUCAAAAGGGUUGGGAUGAGUCAGGGAGAGCUAGGGCGGGGGCAGUCUCUAAAGCUGUCUUCAAGGAAUGGAAAGAGGAGUGGGGAAAGGAUUUAGGAUCUAUGGGGUCAGCUAAGUUUCCUUUUGUGAGUUUAUAUAAUGGUUUUGUUAGGAUGGCAAAACCAGGUAUCUAAAGUCGAAAGUACCUAAGCAUGCCUAGGAAGGAAAGGAAUUGUUGUUUUGUAGAAGGUGUUGGGGUUUGAGAGAUCAGUUGGACAUGAUCAGCAGAGAGAGCAGGUCUGUUUUCAUGAGAAUUAUGCUGAGAUAGGUAACAGAUGAGGAAGAAAUUUGGGCUUGACUGAAGUAAUGGGAGCUGUCUGUGAAGCCUUGCAGCAGUACAGCCCAGGUAAUUUGCUGAGCCUAAUGGGUAUCAGGGUCACUCCAAGUGAGAGGAAGAGAGGUUAGGAUGAAAGGUGCAAAGGAAUAGUAAAGAAAGCAUGUUUGAGAGCCAGAACAGAAUAAUGGGUUGUAGAGGGAGGUAUUGAGGAUAGGAGAGUAUAUGGGUUUGGCACCACAGGGUGGAGAGGCAAAACAAUUUGGUUGAUAAUGUGCAGAUCCUGAAGUAACCUGUAAGCCUUGUCUGGUUUUAGGACAGGUGAAAUGGAAUUGUAAGGAGAGUUUAUAGGCUUCAAAGGCCUUGCUGUAGCAGGUGAGUGAUAACAGGCUUUAAUCCUUUUAAUGCGUGCUGCAGGAUGGGAUAUUGGCGUUGAGUGGAGUAAGGGUGAUUAGGUUUUAAUGAGAUGGUAAGGGGGUGCAUGAUCGGUUGCCAAGGAGGGAGUAGAGGUAUCCUAUACUUGUGGGUUAAGGUUGGGGGAUAUGAGAGGAGGAUGCAAAGGAGGCUUUGAACUGGGGAAAAGGGCGGCAAUGACGUGUGGCUGCAGUUCAGGAACAGUGAAGCAGAUAAUUUAGUUAAAAUGUCUUGGCCUAAUAAUGGAACUAGACAGGUGGGGAUAACUAAAAAAGAGUGCAUAAAAGAAUGUUGUCUAAGUUGGCACUAGAGUUGGGGAGUUUUAAGAUGUUUAGAAGCCUGGCCGUCAAUACCCACAACAGUUAUGGAGGCAAAGGAAACAGGCCCUUGAAAAGAAGGUAAUGUGGAGUGGGUAGCCUUCAUAUUGAUUAAGAAGGGGACAGACUUACCUUCUACUGUAAGAAUUACCUUAAAGCAUCUGUGAUGGUCCAGGAAGCUUCCAAGGCAAUUGGGCAGUGUCGGUCUUCAGCUGCUGAGCCAAGAAGAUCUGGGAAGGAGUCAGAAAGCCUUGGGCCAGAGUUCCAGGGGCACUGGAAGUGACUGCCAGAUAUCUAUUGAGUACUACUAAGGCCAGACACUAUUCUAAGUGCUAGGCACACAUCAGAAAGAAACAGAUAUUUCUGCUCACUAUGGUAGUUAUAAUUAAAACAAUUGAACUCAGAGGUACAGUAGUGAGAGGUGACAGCAUGCUGGCAGCCCUCACAGCCCUCGCUCGCUCUCAGUGCCUCCUCGGCCUCAGCGCCCACUCUGGCCACACUUGAGAAGCCCUUCAGCCUGCCGCUGCACUUUGGGAGCCCCUUUCUAGGCUGGCCGAGGCUGGAGCCAGCUCACUCAGCUUGCAGGGAGGGGUGGAGGGAGAGGCAUGGGCGGGAACUGGGGCUGCGUGCAGCGCUUGCAGGCCAGCGUGAGUUCCGGGUGGGCGUGGGCUUCGUGGGCCCUGCACUCAGAGCGGCCGGCCGGCUCCACCGGCCCAGGGCACUGAGGGGCUUAGCACCCGGGCCAGCAGCUGCGGAGGGUGUGUCGGGUCCCUCAGCAGUGCUGGCCCAGUGGUGCUGCACUCGAUUUCUUGCCAGGCCUUAGCUGCCUCCCUAUGGGGCAGGGCUCAGGACCUGCAGCCCCCCAUGCCUGAGCACUUCCCCUCCAUGCCAUGGGCUCCUGCACAGCCCGAGCCUCCCUGACAAGCACCGCCCCCUGCUCCAUGGUGCCUGGUCCCACUGACCACCCAAGGGCUGAGAAGUGCGGGCGCAAGGUGCGGGACUGGCAGGCAGCUCUACCUGCGGCCCUGGCGCGGGAUCCACUGGGUGAAGCCAGCUGGGCUCCUGAGUCUAGUGGGGACUUGGAGAACCUUUAUGUCUAGCUAAGGGAUUGUAAAUACGCCAAUCAGCACUCUGUGUCUAGCUCAAGGUUUGUAAAUGUACCAAUCUGCACUCUGUGUCUAGCUGAUCUGGUGGGGGCUUGGAGAACCUUUAUGUCUAGCUAAGGGAUUGUGAAUACACCAGUCGGCACUCUGUAUCUAGCUCAAGGUUUGUAACUGCACCAAUCAACACUCUGUGUCUAGCUCAGGGUUUGUAAAUACACCAAUCAGCAUUCUGUAGCUAGCUAAUCUAGUGGGGACUUGGAGAACUUUCGUGUCUAGCUCAGGGAUUGUAAAUGCACCAAUCAGCACCCUGUCAAAAUGGACCAAUCAGCUUUUUGUAAAACAGACCAAUCAGCUCUCUGUAAAAUGGACCAAUCAGCAGGAUGUGGGUGGGGCCAGAUAAGAGAAAAAAAGCAGGCUGCCCCAGCCAGCAGUGGCAACCCUCUGGAGUCCCCUUCCACAUUGUGGAAGCUUUGUUCUUUUGCUCUUUGCAAUAAAUCUUGCUACUGCUCAUUCUUUGGGUCCACACUGCCUUUAUGAGCUGUAACACUCACCGUGAACGUCUGCAGCUUCACUCCUGAAGCCAUCGAGACCACGAACCCACUGGGAGGAAAAAACAACUCCAGACACACCGCCUUAAGAACUGUAACACUCACCACGAAGGUCUGCAGCUUCACUCCUGAGCCAGCGAGACCACAAUCCCACCAGAAGGAAGAAAGUCCAAACACAUCCGAACAUCAGAAGGAACAAACUCCAGACACGCUGCCUUUAAGAACUGUAACACUCACCGCGAGGGUCAGCGGCUUCAUUCUUGAAGUCAGUGAGACCAAGAACCCACCAAUUCCGGACGCAGUAGGAUGAUGGUUAUCAGAGGGUAGGAAGGGUAGCAGUGGUGGGAGGUAGAGAUGGUUAAUGAGUAUAAAAAUAUAGUUAUAUACAAGGAAUAAGAUUUAGUAUUUGAUACUAGAUCUAGUUUUUGCUACUACAACAAUGUGAUUAUGAAGGAAGAGAGAGACCUUCUCAUGUUGUUUUAUACUCAGUACCUGUUUUAAGAAGAAACAACAAAGAAGUAAAGCCAAAGACAGGCAGCCUGGCGCCAGGCCUGAAACCAGGCCUGGGCCUGCCUGGCCUAAAUCCAGUAGUUAAAAAUCAACUCAUAACUUAGAAACCGAUGUUAUUCAUAGAUUCCAGACACUGUAUAGAAGAACAUUGUGAAACUCCUUGCCCUGUUCUGUUUCUCUCUGACCACUGGUGCACGCAGCCCCUGUCACGUACUGCCUGCUUGCUCAAAUCAAUCAUGAUCCUUUCCUAUGAAAUCUUUAGUGUUGUGAGCCCUUAAAAGGGACAGAAAUUGUGCACUCGGAGAGCUCGGAUUUUAAGGCAGUAGCUUGCCAAUGCUCCCAGCUGAAUAAAGCCCUUCCUUCUACAACUCGGUGUCUGAGAGGUUUUGUCUGCAGCUCGUCCUGCUACAAUUACAGUCCACAAAAAUGUAUCGUACAUUGCAAAAUAAAUAAGACUAUAAUCUGAAUGUUUAUAACAAAAAAAAUAAAUGCUUGAGGUACUAGAUACCCUAUUUACUCUGAUGUGACUAUUAU
rnacentral:lncRNA from 10 species